rnacentral:sRNA from 1 species
GCCGGGCAUGGUGGCACAUGCCUGUAGUCCCAGAUACUCGGGAGGCUGAGGUGGGAGGAUUGCUUGAGCCUGGGAGGUCAAGACUGCAGUGAGUAAAGAUCAUGCCACUGCACUCCAGUCUGGGCAACAGAGGAAGACCCCAUCUCAA